GAUGAACGCUGGCGGCGUGCCUAAUACAUGCAAGUCGAGCGAACGGACGAGGAGCUUGCUCCUCUGACGUUAGCGGCGGACGGGUGAGUAACACGUGGAUAACCUACCUAUAAGACUGGGAUAACUUCGGGAAACCGGAGCUAAUACCGGAUAAUAUUUUGAACCGCAUGGUUCAAUAGUGAAAGACGGUUUUGCUGUCACUUAUAGAUGGAUCCGCGCUGCAUUAGCUAGUUGGUAAGGUAACGGCUUACCAAGGCGACGAUGCGUAGCCGACCUGAGAGGGUGAUCGGCCACACUGGAACUGAGACACGGUCCAGACUCCUACGGGAGGCAGCAGUAGGGAAUCUUCCGCAAUGGGCGAAAGCCUGACGGAGCAACGCCGCGUGAGUGAUGAAGGUCUUCGGAUCGUAAAACUCUGUUAUUAGGGAAGAACAAAUGUGUAAGUAACUAUGCACGUCUUGACGGUACCUAAUCAGAAAGCCACGGCUAACUACGUG
rnacentral:rRNA from 1 species